CCUGCUUUGAGUGUCCUUUCUGUGCUCUGUUUUAAGCUGGAAAGAGUGCUUUCCCGAUUCGAUGGUUAAGCUCCGGAGAUCCUCUUUUCUCUGGUUUCGGUAGGAUGAAUUUCAUUUUAUGUUUGACGCAUCGCAUAUAGUUAGCCUGACUAAGGCAUCGAUAUUAAAAGAAGUAAUGUCAGCUCUCAUGAAGGUAAGCACAUUUUUUUUUAUUAGACGAUUCUAAGGGUACGGGACACCUCCUCCAGUCUAUUAGGCGAGGUAUGUUCUCUUGGCCUGAGAGUUGGUUCAACCCCAACGAGAAACAUCCUUUCUAGUGUGUUCAAUCCCACCUUUCAUCAACUGUUGUUUCUCUGUCCC
rnacentral:lncRNA from 1 species